rnacentral:rRNA from 1 species
AUUGAACGCUGGCGGCAGGCCUAACACAUGCAAGUCGAGCGGAUGAAGGGAGCUUGCUCCUGGAUUCAGCGGCGGACGGGUGAGUAAUGCAUAGGAAGCUGCCUGGUAGUGGGGGAUAACGUCCGGAAAGGGGCGCGAAUACCGCAUAGGUCCUGAGGGUGAAAGGGGGGGAUCUUCGGACAUCACGCUAUCAGCUGAGCCUAGGUCGUAUUAGCUAGUUGGUGGGGUAAAGGCUUACCAAGGCGACGAUCCGUAACUGGUCUGAGAGGAUGAUCAGUCACACUGGAACUGAGACACGGUCCAGACUCCUACGGGAGGCAGCAGUGGGGAAUCUUGGACAAUGGGCGAAAGCCUGAUCCAGCCAUGCCGCGUGUGUGAAGAAGGUCUUCGGAUUGUAAAGCACUUUAAGUUGGGAGGAAGGGCAGUAAGUUAAUCCCUUGCUGUUUUGACGUUACCAACAGAAUAAGCCCCGGCUAACUUCGUG